GAGCCUGCUUUUAAAAAUUGGGUGUCAGAGCAAGCCCCGAGGGCAGCAGCUGUGGGCAGGCUGGAGGAAAUGGUCCCUGUUUAGGUGCUGCACUGGUCUCUGCAUGAUCAAUCCCAGCGCCCAGAACACCGAUAUCAAGGCCUUUGCCUGGCUCUUCUCCAGAUGGUUUUCUAUUGCAGGAGUUUUGCUGGCAGAGAGCUUAUGAAGAAACAGGCUUACAGAAGGCACGGCCAGGCUGCAGGGAUGACUGGGACCUGAAAACAGCCAGCAUCAUCAUUCUUGAAAGUUUAGAAACGAGGCAUGUAUACGUAUUUAACAGUUCUCAGAAUGUCAAGGAUCCCUCCUCAGAGCAAGAGCUCGAAUUUACAAAAGAAGCACUACCUCCUUUAUCACAUAGUAAAAUAAAGGACCGUGUCUGCUCCAGGACAUGGCUGGUUACAAUUUUGUUUUAAAGAAAUCACCAGAAAAAACUAGGUUAUAGACAAUUGUGAGUUGUCUGUCAAGUACCAACAUUCUGUAGCAGAUCAGCAAAUUUUAUGAAUAUACCAUCUCACAAUUUUUAUAGAGAAACCUGAGAUUCCAACCCAGCCUUUUGUUUGCCUGGGAUUAUAGCCCAGUUCUUACAAGCAGAGAAGCCUAGGACACUAACCCAGCUUCAAGAGUAUACUCAGAAUCUCAAGAAUCACAAUCUGUGCUGCCCAUUCUUCAACAGACUGUCAUCUGGAGGCCUGGAUUGGAUCAGGAGUCGGGCUCACCAAUGGAGCCCCAAUCAGUCAGUCAGGAGUGAAGAUGAAAGCUUCAAAGGCAUUGAUGACUCACUUCUCACUUGAGUCCAGACCCAUCUGGAUUGCCUGCAAAAAGGUCUCGGCAGUGACCUGAAAACAUAUGUAAAUUACCCAACCAAUUCUAACCAGGACCUGCUGUCUGGCAAUUCAUCCCCAUGUUCUAGACUUGUCCAACAAGCACCCAAGCAACUUUGAGUUCCAUCCUGCAACUCUCAGUCAGGCUCAAGAAAAGCCCCAAUUUUAUCUGGGCAUGGUGACACAUGACUGUAAUCCCAGCUACUCGGGAGGCUGAGGCAGUUGAAUCGCUUGAACCCAGGAAGCGAAGGCUGCAGUGAGCCGAGAUCAUGCCACUGCACUCCAGCCUGGGCAACACAGCGAGACUGUCUCAAAAUAAAAUUAAAAUUAAAUUUUUUAAAAAG
ensembl:lncRNA LINC02052 long intergenic non-protein coding RNA 2052